GUACCCUCAAGCUCAGCUUGGUGUUGGGACUCGCGGUAACCCGCGUUCCCCAAAUCGAUUGGCGGUCACGUCGAGCUUCCAUAGCGUAGUAAUUUACACAUCGUUACUGGUAAUCGUCGCGGCCACGCCGUUAAACCCCAACUUCUGAA
rnacentral:misc_RNA from 1 species